UACGUAGGGUGCAAGCGUUAAUCGGAAUUACUGGGCGUAAAGCGUGCGCAGGCGGUUUUGUAAGUCUGUCGUGAAAGCCCCGGGCUCAACCUGGGGAAUUGCGAUGGAGACUGCAAGGCUUGAAUCUGGCAGAGGGGGGUAGAAUUCCACGUGUAGCAGUGAAAUGCGUAGAGAUGUGGACGGAACACCGAUGGCGAAGGCAGCCCCUGGGUCAAGAUUGACGCACUCAUGCACGAAAGCGUGGGGAGCAAACAGG
rnacentral:rRNA from 1 species